UUUAUGGAGAGUUUGAUCCUGGCUCAGGACGAACGCUGGCGGCGUGCCUAAUACAUGCAAGUCGAGCGGAGUUAUUCCUUCGGGGAUAGCUUAGCGGCGGACGGGUGAGUAACACGUAGGCAACCUGCCUGUAAGACCGGGAUAACAUUCGGAAACGAAUGCUAAUACCGGAUAUGCAAUUCAGCUGCAUGGCUGAAUUGGGAAAGACGGCGCAAGCUGUCACUUACAGAUGGGCCUGCGGUGCAUUAGCUAGUUGGUGGGGUAACGGCUCACCAAGGCGACGAUGCAUAGCCGACCUGAGAGGGUGAUC
rnacentral:rRNA from 1 species